rnacentral:rRNA from 1 species
GGCCAGACUCCUACGGGAGGCAGCAGUGGGGAAUAUUGCACAAUGGGGGAAACCCUGAUGCAGCGACGCCGCGUGAGCGAUGAAGUAUUUCGGUAUGUAAAGCUCUAUCAGCAGGGAAGAAGAUGACGGUACCUGACUAAGAAGCCCCGGCUAACUACGUGCCAGCAGCCGCGGUAAUACGUAGGGGGCGAGCGUUAUCCGGAUUCACUGGGUGUAAAGGGAGCGUAGACGGCCAUGCAAGCCAGGGGUGAAAGCCCGGGGCCCAACCCCGGGACUGCCCUUGGAACUGCAUGGCUGGAGUGCGGGAGGGGCAGGCGGAAUUCCUGGUGUAGCGGUGAAAUGCGUAGAUAUCAGGAGGAACACCAGUGGCGAAGGCGGCCUGCUGGACGAUGACUGACGUUGAGGCUCGAAAGCGUGGGGAGCAAACAGGAUUAGAUACCCCAGUACC